rnacentral:tmRNA from 1 species
GGGCUAGUACCGGUUUCGACGGGGAUUAUGAAGCUUAAGAAGCGAGUCGUAUGGUAAUGCGUUAAAUGGCCAAAUUAAAAUUAAACGCUGAAGAUAAUUUAGCAUACGCUGCCUAGUUGCAGCAGUCGCCCUUAGUACACCUACAUACCAAGGAUCCGACUUCAUCUUUGUAGGAAACGACGUUAUCAAAGCUUUGAGAUGGCGGGCGUAUUAUGAAGCUACUAAAGCAUAAAUCCUGUUUGUAGGAGUUAUGUGGAGGGAAUGUAAAAAUACAAACUACACUCGUAGAAGGGCCGGGAAUUGGCUUUUGGACACGGGUUCGACUCCCGUCUAGUCCACUA